GCCUCGGUGGCUUAGUGGCUAUAGCGUCUGCUUCGUAAGCAGAACGUCGUGGGUUCAAAUCCCACCCGGGGCUCCA
rnacentral:tRNA from 1 species